rnacentral:lncRNA from 1 species
GGUUUGGAGGUGGAAAAGAAUAAGGAGGAGGAUGAGGAGAAGUGGUGAGGAGGAUGAGAAGGAGGGGAGAGAGGCCGUCGAUAAGAAAUGAGUUAGAGGAGGAGGAUAAGGAGAAAAAGAAGAUGGAGAGAAAGAAGAGGGGGAAAACGGGUUGUCGGCAAGAAGAGGUGGAGGUGGAGAGGACCAUUGUAGAGGAAGAUGGUUUAUAAGCAGUUUGGAGGAGAAGGAAGAAGAUAAGGAGGAGAAAUAGAUGAGAUGGAAAAGAGGAGAUAGAGAAAUAUGUGAAGGUAAAGAAAGCCACCAUGGAGAAGGAGAAAUAGAUGAGAAGAAAAGGAAGGAGGAGAAAGAAAGAAAGAAGGAAGAGGGAGAAAGAGAGACAUCAGCGAUAGAGGAGGAGAGAAUCAAUCGGAGAGAAUGAAGAAAACAAGAGGU